rnacentral:rRNA from 1 species
GGGAUUACCUUAGUAACGGCGAGUGAAGCGGUAAAAGCUCAAAUUUGAAAUCUGGUACUUUCAGUGCCCGAGUUGUAAUUUGUAGAAUUUGUCUUUGAUUAGGUCCUUGUCUAUGUUCCUUGGAACAGGACGUCAUAGAGGGUGAGAAUCCCGUUUGGCGAGGAUACCUUUUCUCUGUAAGACUUUUUCGAAGAGUCGAGUUGUUUGGGAAUGCAGCUCAAAGUGGGUGGUAAAUUCCAUCUAAAGCUAAAUAUUGGCGAGAGACCGAUAGCGAACAAGUACAGUGAUGGAAAGAUGAAAAGAACUUUGAAAAGAGAGUGAAAAAGUACGUGAAAUUGUUGAAAGGGAAGGGCAUUUGAUCAGACAUGGUGUUUUUUGCAUGCACUCGCCUCUCGUGGGCUUGGGCCUCUCAAAAAUUUCACUGGGCCAACAUCAAUUCUGGCAGCAGGAUAAAUCAUUAAGAAUGUAGCUACUUCGGUAGUGUUAUAGCUUUUUGGAAUACUGUUAGCCGGGAUUGAGGACUGCGCUUCGGCAAGGAUGUUGGCAUAAUGGUUAAAUGCC